GUAUGCUGGCCCCAAUGUUGAUGGACAUGAUUAGCUUUGGCUCCAGGUUCCUGUCCUGAGACCACAGCAGAAAGUGCCUUGGAUGAAGGCUUGGACUCUGGAUCGUCUGGUGACUUCAACUGUCUGGUCUCAGGGUGGAGAACUUUCUUUGUAUGCCUAACCUGUGAGUCGAUGGUAAGAUUACAGUUAACACAUGCAUAGCUAUAGAAUGUGGUUUUUAUUCCUAAGUGUAUGCU
rnacentral:lncRNA from 1 species